GGUGAACGCUAGCGAUAGGCUUAACACAUGCAAGUCGAGGGGUAACAUGGGAGUAGCUUGCUACUUCUGAUGACGACCGGCGGAUGGGUGAGUAACGCGUAUGCAACUUGCCUCUUAGUGGGGAAUAACCCGGAGAAAUCCGGACUAAUACCGCAUACACUUAGUUAUCCGCAUGGAUGAUUAAGGAAAGAUUUAUUGCUAAGAGAUAGGCAUGCGUUCCAUUAGUUGGUUGGUGAGGUAACGGCUCACCAAGGCAUCGAUGGAUAGGGGAGCUGAGAGGCUUACUCCCCCACAUUGGGACUGAGUCACGGCCCAA
rnacentral:rRNA from 1 species